GCAGAUUCGCAGCGGUAAGCCGCGCAGGAAGCUGUGUGCGCUCCAAAGUCUCUGAGCUCUGAAGCAUCCCAAGAAUCAAAGCUUUGGUCUUGGCGUGCAGUGACUCAGGAGUGGAUGGUACCCAAAGAUUGGAUUCCUAAAGAGAAAAUGACUGGGCCAAAGAUUAUGAAAGUUUUCCAGGUUCAAGAGGCAUAUGGCUCAAUUUCCCUCCCAGUGGUGAUUUUAAUACAACACUUAAAAAAAAGUCCUCCCAAAACAGCAACAACAAACCUGUCAUUAAGAUUUCUGGAAUCUCCAUUAACAGGAAGAGGAAACAAGGUACUCUCUGCACCUGCUCCAUGCAGAACAUGGCCCUAUUUAAGGACAGACCUGACUCUUAAUGGUCUGUAUCAGAUGCUCAACUUGACCUAGUUGAAAGGAUGGGACAUCAGUGCCCCCAGGAACCUGACUCUGGAAGUUGCUGUGCUCCUGGGGCGAUAAGAAGUCACUCCAGUGACCAUCUUGCUUGACCCCUGAACUUCUGGAUCUGAGCUUCUAGAAGCCCAUGUGUGUAACAGACUGAAUAUGCUGUUUUGCUCUGAAGUGGACUUAUAGUGCUUGAUUGGGGGAGAACGUGUGUCUGCACGACAUUGCCACACCUGAGGCAGACAUUGCCAAUCAAUCACAGAACUCCGCAGUCCAGCAGCUUUCUCAUCGUAGCUGUACUUGAUCUUGGAGAAUUCAUGGGGUUUGUCUUCACAACUGCCUGGGCCUCCGUGUCUGAAGACCACAUCAUCACUUGCAAACAGUUGAAACCAAGAAACUUCAAAUCUUUAGAAGUGAAGACUGGAUGUCAAAAGUCAGCUGUAGGGACUGCUCCUGACGAACUGGGGUGCCCUGUCAUAGGCAGACUAAUGCCCCCCAAAGAUGUCCACGCCCUAAUCCCUGGAUCCUGUGUAUAAGGCAGGUUAUGUGGCAAAGAUGCAAUUAAUAUUGCUAGGGAGAUUACCCUGGACUACUGGAGUGUGUUCAGUGAAGUCAGAAGGGUCCUUCACUGUGGAAAAGGGAAGCAGAAGAGAAAGUCAGAGUGAUGCACUGUGAAGACUAGAAGACCUUGAACUGCUGUUUCUGGCCUUGGGGAGGGAGGAAGAGGGCCAGGAGUACAGAAAUGUGCGCAGCCUUUAGAAGCUGGAAAGGUCAAGGAAAAAAAAAAUCGUCCCGAGUCUCCAGAAAUGAAGGCAGCCCUAACAGCAUCUUGAUUGCAGCCCUG
rnacentral:lncRNA from 1 species